CACGUAGGGCGCGAGCGUUGUCCGGAAUUAUUGGGCGUAAAGAGCUCGUAGGCGGCCUGUUGCGUCCGCUGUGAAAGCCCGGGGCUUAACCCCGGGUCUGCAGUGGAUACGGGCAGGCUAGAGGUAGGUAGGGGAGAAUGGAAUUCCUGGUGUAGCGGUGGAAUGCGCAGAUAUCAGGAGGAACACCAAUGGCGAAGGCAGAUCUCUGGGCCGUAACUGACGCUGAGGAGCGAAAGCAUGGGGAGCGAACAGG
rnacentral:rRNA from 1 species